rnacentral:rRNA from 1 species
GACAGAGGGUGCAAACGUUGUUCGGAAUUACUGGGCGUAAAGCGCGUGUAGGCUGCUCUGCAAGUCGGAUGUGAAAGCCCUGGGCUCAACCUAGGAAGUGCACUCGAAACUGCAGAGCUUGAGUCCUGGAGAGGAAGGCGGAAUUCUCGGUGUAGAGGUGAAAUUCGUAGAUAUCGAGAGGAACACCGGUGGCGAAGGCGGCCUUCUGGACAGUGACUGACGCUGAGACACGAAAGCGUGGGGAGCAAACAGG